GUUAUAAAAUGAAUAGUUUGUAAUAUCACUUUUGCCGCUAAGAAUCACAGUCCUUCCUCGUAUUUUGUUUUGAAGAAUUGAAGGUCGCUUCUCUCUCUCUCACCCAAAGCCUCAGCCAUUACACUUGAAGAAACAUUAGCCGAUCAUUCUCAAAGAUUCCACGUGUAAAUCUAGAGACAAACAGCUAAUGUUUCGACAAGAGAUUACUACGAGUGUCAACGAGUUGGUGUGGCCAGCUGUGGGAAACGAAUUAUAUUCACAAUUUCGUGGGAAGCCAUCAAUAAUCUUCCCUCCCCUCAGGUUCUCCUUAAACCUAAUUUCUUUCCCUCUAAAUUUCAUGAAAAUAGAUAAUAUCUUGUAAAACUCAACUUCUCUGAUAUAUAGUAAGAAGCAAUUUUAACCAUUCCAUUUUGGAUAGAGGGUAAGAUUAUUAUUCCAUUUUAUACUUCAUUUCACUGGUAUGCUUACUCUUUCAAGGAAAACAAAGAGUUGAGAUUAAUUUUCUGUAAAAUAUUUUUAAUACUAUAUUAUAUUAUAUAAAAUCUGUUAUAUGGAGUUUACAAAGUUUUUAGCUUUUU